AUACGGAGGAUCCGAGCGUUAUCCGGAUUUAUUGGGUUUAAAGGGUGCGCAGGCGGGAGAUUAAGUCGGCGGUGAAAUUUUGCAGCUCAACUGUAAAAGUGCCUUCGAUACUGGUUUCCUUGAGUGUGGAUGAAGUAGGCGGAAUUUGUGGUGUAGCGGUGAAAUGCUUAGAUAUCACGAGGAACUCCGAUUGCGCAGGCAGCUUACUAAACCACUACUGACGCUCAGGCACGAAGGCGUGGGGAUCAAACAGGAUUAGAUACCCUGGUAGUCCACGCAGUAAACGAUGAUUACUGGCUGUUUGCGAUACAAUGUGAGCGGCUGAGCGAAAGCGUUAAGUAAUCCACCUGGGGAGUACGUUCGCAAGAAUGAAACUCAAAUGAAUUGACGGGG
rnacentral:rRNA from 1 species